rnacentral:rRNA from 1 species
GCUUAUGCGUUGUUGGGUAGGGGAGCGUUCUGUAAGCCUGUGAAGGUGGCCUGUGAGGGUUGCUGGAGGUAUCAGAAGUGCGAAUGCUGACAUAAGUAACGAUAAAGCGGGUGAAAAGCCCGCUCGCCGGAAGACCAAGGGUUCCUGUCCAACGUUAAUCGGGGCAGGGUGAGUCGACCCCUAAGGCGAGGCCGAAAGGCGUAGUCGAUGGGAAACGGGUUAAUAUUCCCGUACUUGGUGUUACUGCGAAGGGGGGACGGAGAAGGCUAUGUUGGCCGGGCGACGGUUGUCCCGGUUUAAGCGUGUAGGUGUGUGUUCCAGGUAAAUCCGGUUCACUUUAACACUGAGGCGUGACGACGAGGCACUACGGUGCUGAAGCAACAAAUGCCCUGCUUCCAGGAAAAGCCUCUAAGCAUCAGGUAACAUCAAAUCGUACCCCAAACCGACACAGGUGGUCAGGUAGAGAAUACCAAGGCGCUUGAGAGAACUCGGGUGAAGGAACUAGGCAAAAUGGUGCCGUAACUUCGGGAGAAGGCACGCUGACACGUAGGUGAAGUGAUUUACUCAUGGAGCUGAAGUCAGUCGAAGAUACCAGCUGGCUGCAACUGUUUAUUAAAAACACAGCACUGUGCAAACACGAAAGUGGACGUAUACGGUGUGACGCCUGCCCGGUGCCGGAAGGUUAAUUGAUGGGGUCAGCGCAAGCGAAGCUCCUGAUCGAAGCCCCGGUAAACGGCGGCCGUAACUAUAACGGUCCUAAGGUAGCGAAAUUCCUUGUCGGGUAAGUUCCGACCUGCACGAAUGGCGUAAUGAUGGCCAGGCUGUCUCCACCCGAGACUCAGUGAAAUUGAACUCGCUGUGAAGAUGCAGUGUACCCGCGGCAAGACGGAAAGACCCCGUGAACCUUUACUAUAGCUUGACACUGAACAUUGAGCCUUGAUGUGUAGGAUAGGUGGGAGGCUUUGAAGUGUGGACGCCAGUCUGCAUGGAGCCGACCUUGAAAUACCACCCUUUAAUGUUUGAUGUUCUAACGUGGACCCGUUACCCGGGUUGCGGACAGUGUCUGGUGGGUAGUUUGACUGGGGCGGUCUCCUCCUAAAGAGUAACGGAGGAGCACGAAGGUUGGCUAAUCCUGGUCGGACAUCAGGAGGUUAGUGCAAUGGCAUAAGCCAGCUUGACUGCGAGCGUGACGGCGCGAGCAGGUGCGAAAGCAGGUCAUAGUGAUCCGGUGGUUCUGAAUGGAAGGGCCAUCGCUCAACGGAUAAAAGGUACUCCGGGGAUAACAGGCUGAUACCGCCCAAGAGUUCAUAUCGACGGCGGUGUUUGGCACCUCGAUGUCGGCUCAUCACAUCCUGGGGCUGAAGUAGGUCCCAAGGGUAUGGCUGUUCGCCAUUUAAAGUGGUACGCGAGCUGGGUUUAGAACGUCGUGAGACAGUUCGGUCCCUAUCUGCCGUGGGCGCUGGAGAACUGAGGGGGGCUGCUCCUAGUACGAGAGGACCGGAGUGGACGCAUCACUGGUGUUCGGGUUGUCAUGCCAAUGGCACUGCCCGGUAGCUAAAUGCGGAAGAGA